rnacentral:rRNA from 1 species
UAAAAAGGGCCGUCCCCGCCAGAGGACCCCUAACUCUGUUUUUAUAAUGUUUUUUUGAGUAAGCAAGCAAAUAAAUUAAAACUUUCAACAACGGAUCUCUUGGCUCUGGCAUCGAUGAAGAACGCAGCGAAAUGCGAUAAGUAAUGUGAAUUGCAGAAUUCAGUGAAUCAUCGAAUCUUUGAACGCACAUUGCGCCCGCCAGUAUUCUGGCGGGCAUGCCUGUUCGAGCGUCAUUACAACCCUCAGGCCUCCGGGCCUGGCGUUGGGGAUCGGCGGAGCCCCCCGUGGGCACACGCCGUCCCCCAAAUACAGUGGCGGUCCCGCCGCAGCUUCCAUUGCGUAGUAGCUAACACCUCGCAACUGGAGAGCGGCGCGGCCACGCCGUAAAACACCCAACUUCUGAAUGUGACCUCGAAUCAGGUAG